rnacentral:rRNA from 1 species
CCUACGGGUGGCUGCAGUGGGGAAUAUUGCACAAUGGAGGGAACUCUGAUGCAGCGACGCCGCGUGAGUGAAGAAGUAAUUCGUUAUGUAAAGCUCUAUCAGCAGGGAAGAAAGUGACGGUACCUGAAAAAGAAGCUCCGGCUAAAUACGUGCCAGCAGCCGCGGUAAUACGGAGGAUGCGAGCGUUAUCCGGAUUUAUGGGGGUUAAAGGGUGCGUAGGCGGGCAUUUAAGCCGGCGGUCAAAUGUCGGGGCUCAACCCCGGCCUGCCGUCGGAACUGGGUGCCUUGAGUGGGCGAGAAGUAUGCGGAAUGCGUGGUGUAGCGGUGAAAUGCAUAGAUAUCACGCAGAACCCCGAUUGCGAAGGCAGCAUACCGGCGCCCUACUGACGCUGAGGCACGAAAGUGCGGGUAUCGAACAGGAUUAGAUACCCGUGUAGUC